UACGAAGGGUGCAAGCGUUGUUCGGAAUUACUGGGUGUAAAGCGCGCGUAGGCGGGUCAGAAAGUCGAUUGUGAAAUCCCUGGGCUUAACCCGGGAACUGCAGUCGAAACUCCUGAUCUUGAAUGUCUGAGAGGAUGGCGGAAUUGCCGGAGUAGUAGUGAAAUACGUAGAUAUCGGCAAGAACACCUGAGGCGAAGGCGGCUAUCUGGCGGUACAUUGACGCUAAGGCGCGAAAGCGUGGGGAGCAAACGGG
rnacentral:rRNA from 1 species